GUGCUCACUUUGGUAGCACAUAUACAAAAAUUAGUACAAUAUAAAGAAGAUUAGCAUUGCCUUAGGCAAGGAUGACACACAAAUUCAUGAAGUUUUUCAUACAUUU
ensembl:snRNA U6 U6 spliceosomal RNA